rnacentral:rRNA from 1 species
CGAAAGCCUGACGGAGCAAGACCGCGUGGGGGAAGAAGGCUCUUGGGUUGUAAACCCCUUUUCUCUGGGAAGAACGCAAUGACGGUACCAGAGGAAUCAGCAUCGGCUAACUCCGUGCCAGCAGCCGCGGUAAGACGGAGGAUGCAAGCGUUAUCCGGAAUGAUUGGGCGUAAAGCGUCCGCAGGUGGCAGUUCAAGUCUGCUGUCAAAGACCGGGGCUCAACCUCGGAAAGGCAGUGGAAACUGAACAGCUAGAGUAUGGUAGGGGCAAAGGGAAUUCCUGGUGUAGCGGUGAAAUGCGUAGAGAUCAGGAAGAACAUCGGUGGCGAAGGCGCUUUGCUGGACCAUAACUGACACUCAGGGACGAAAGCUAGGGGAGUG